CGUGGGAGCGAGCCUGCUCGCGAUGACGUCGUGUCAGUCACAUUACUCUCGACUGACCGACCGCCAUCGCGAGCAGGCUCGCUCCCACA
rnacentral:misc_RNA from 1 species